rnacentral:rRNA from 1 species
GCCUACGGGGGGCAGCAGUAGGGAGUAUUGCUCAAUGGGGGAAACCCUGAAGCAGCAACGCCGCGUGGAGGAUGAAGGUUUUCGGAUUGUAAACUCCUUUUGUUAGAGAAGAUAAUGACGGUAUCUAACGAAUAAGCACCGGCUAACUCCGUGCCAGCAGCCGCGGUAAUACGGAGGGUGCAAGCGUUACUCGGAAUCACUGGGCGUAAAGAGCGCGUAGGCGGGAUAGCAAGUCAGAUGUGAAAUCCUAUGGCUUAACCAUAGAACUGCAUUUGAAACUGUUUUUCUUGAGUACCGGAGAGGUC